rnacentral:rRNA from 1 species
UUGAGAGUUUGAUCCUGGCUCAGAACGAACGCUGGCGGCAGGCCUAACACAUGCAAGUCGAGCGAGAACUUCGGUUCUAGCGGCGGACGGGUUAGUAACGCGUGGGAACGUGCCCUUCACUACGGAAUAGUCCCGGGAAACUGGGUUUAAUACCGUAUACGCCCUUCGGGGGAAAGAAUUUCGGUGAAGGAUCGGCCCGCGUUAGAUUAGAUAGUUGGUGGGGUAACGGCCUACCAAGUCUACGAUCUAUAGCUGGUUUUAGAGGAUGAUCAGCAACACUGGGACUGAGACACGGCCC